GUCCCGCUCCCCGUCGCCCCACGCCGCCCUCGUCGCCGCGCCCAGACCCCUGCGGCGGCCGCAGCCGCUUGGGACUCGCUGCGAGCUGGUUUCGGAUCCAUCCCGCCUCCCGGCGUCUCACUGUGUGCCCUACCCUUUGAAACACGCCCCCGCGCCCGCCCUGCCGUAGACCAGGCAGCGAGGAAGCCCACAGUCUCCGGGGGCGCUGCGCGCGAAGUAGCACGUGCUUCUCGAAACACCGCAGCCCCCGGGUCCCGCCCCGCCCGGCGCGCGCACUCGAACCCGCCCAGAGAGCGGUGCGUGGCGCUGGGUGCGAGCAGGGUCUAGCCACCCCCACCCUCACCCCACCCCACCCCACCCUGCUUUUUUCAGGUUCAUCAAGGUUUGCGCAGUGGAUCCGCGAAUGAAGCCAGCCUGGAAGAUCCCCAGUCUCGAGACAGAGCCUGACAGGGGCAGAUGCACUGGAAGGACCCUGUCUGGGUUUAGCAACCAAGCAGCCAUCCUGGCCCCACAGGUGUGGGACUUCUGGGUCUUCUCCUGGCUGGCUUCUUGCUAGAGGAUUUCAAGAGACCCAGCAAGACUGUAUUGUCCCACUGAAUGCUCAAGAUAUUGGUUAGAAGUAGAAAAGGGGAGGGGGUAGUAUUUAGCCUCUGUCCCCACUAAAAAUUAUUCCCAAUUGUCAUUUGUGUCAUCUGUUUAGCUUACAGUUUUAAUCCUUGUCAAAAUGAUCAUUUGCCAGGGUGCAUAAAACACCCUAUUUGAUGAGAACUGGUUUUAAAGGAAAAUGGGGCCAUCAGAAGGAAGCCGGUUGGUGUGAAGAGACGUCUGGGAAGAGCCCCUGGCGAGGGCCCUCAUUCCACUGGGUGACCCAGAAGGAGAAAACCGCGAUGGCGCUUCUCAUUUGAAAUGUUUUCUUUAUGGACAGUGUUUAGCAAUUGUUAUAAUGUGUACUUUUGUUGAUUGAUCUGUAUACAUAUGUAAAAUAAUUUGUUCUCUGAGUUAAUUUUGUUGGAACAAAGACUUUAGUGCUUCCUACAUUAAAACAUUUUACUGUA
rnacentral:lncRNA from 1 species